GGAGGGUGCGAGCGUUGCUCGGAAUCACUGGGCGUAAAGCGUACGCAGGCGGACCGCUAAGUCGGGUGUGAAAGCCCGGGGCUCAACCCCGGAAUGGCAUUCGAAACUGACGGUCUUGAGUACGGGAGAGGGAGGUGGAAUUCCUGGUGUAGAGGUGAAAUUCGUAGAUAUCAGGAGGAACACCGGUGGCGAAAGCGGCCUCCUGGCCCGAUACCGACGCUCAUGUACGAGAGCGUGGGGAGCAAACAGGAUUAGAUACCCUGGUAGUCCACGCUGUAAACGAUGAGUGCUAGCUGGUGGAAAUGUUUACCGUUUCGCUGGCGAAGCUAACGCAUUAAGCACUCCGCCUGGGAAGUACGGCCGCAAGGCUA
rnacentral:rRNA from 1 species